rnacentral:rRNA from 1 species
GGCCGGUACAGACGGAGGCAAUGCCGAGAGGCGGAGCAAACCCGAGAAAACCGGUCCCAGUUCGGAUUGAGGUCUGCAACUCGACCUCAUGAAGUCGGAAUCGCUAGUAAUCGCAUAUCAGAACGAUGCGGUGAAUACGUUCCCGGGCCUUGUACACACCGCCCGUCACACCACGAAAGUUUGUUGUACCCGAAGUCGGUGCCUUAACCUCGCAAGAGGAGAGAGCCGCCCAAGGUAUGGCCGAUGAUUGGGUGAAGUCGUAACAAGGUAGCCGUAGGGGAACCUGCGGCUGGAUCACCUCCUUUCUAGGAGAGAAGGGUCCUGGAUGAAGCGCUCCUAUUUAGUCUUGUGAAGGAUCCGAGUGGAAGCCGGGACCGGAGAAAGACCGGGCCUGUAGCUCAGAUGGUGAGAGCGCACGCCUGAUAAGCGUGAGGUCGAUAGUUCGAAUCUAUCCAGG